rnacentral:rRNA from 1 species
GACGAACGCUGGCGGCGUGCUUAACACAUGCAAGUCGAACGGUAAGGCCCUUCGGGGUACACGAGUGGCGAGCGGGUGAGUAACACGUGGGUGAUCUGCCCUGCACUUCGGGAUAAGCCUGGGAAACUGGGUCUAAUACCGGAUAGGACCACUGCCUUCAUGGGUGGGGGUGGAAAGCUUUUGCGGUGUGGGAUGGGCCCGCGGCCUAUCAGCUUGUUGGUGGGGUGAUGGCCUACCAAGGCGACGACGGGUAGCCGGCCUGAGAGGGUGACCGGCCACACUGGGACUGAGAUACGGCCCAGACUCCUACGGGAGGCAGCAGUGGGGAAUAUUGCACAAUGGGCGCAAGCCUGAUGCAGCGACGCCGCGUGAGGGAUGACGGCCUUCGGGUUGUAAACCUCUUUCAGCACCGACGAAGCGCAAGUGACGGUAGGUGCAGAAGAAGGACCGGCCAACUACGUGCCAGCCGCCGCCGUAA